AUAAUGCCUAACGAUGCUGUCCCUGUCAUUGUUUCCAGCAAAUACCUGAGCUGUAGCUGUGUUUUGUCUUGCAUCUUUGUAGUAUUUAAAGUUGACUCCAUUGUUGCUGUACUGCAACUUGUA